AAGGAAAAAUAUUUUAUUCUAAAAUGAAACAAAAAUAUACAAUACAAUUAAAAAAAGGCGAAUUGGCGUAUGAGUUAUGGCAUAUGUGCAGGCUUGUUUGAAAAAUAUGUAAUAUCCACUUUUUUAGAUUUGUUAUAUUAGAUGUUAGAUUAAAAAUCAACAGAGUUUGAACCCACAUCAUGAUGCAAGGAUACAACCAAUAAGAAAAACCAAUUAAAAUUGCAAACAAUGACUUCUCAUUACAUCCCAAACCUUGGAGAUGUUAAAAUUACUUAUAGGUGAAAUUAUUGAUCGUAACCAAAAAGUCAUUGUUCUCAUCUAAUGCGGGAUACAAUGAAAACAAUGGCUUCUUGGUUGUAUCUUUUGUGGAUUAAAUGUCUCUACAAACAAUGACUUCAUGGAUGCCUAUUCCGAAUACAACCAAAUAACAAUGUUUAAACUAAACAUGAAAACAACAUCCUUCGUCAUCCAUCGAGGUACUUAGUGAAAGUCAUACCUAACAAGUCGCUACUGGUGCAGUAUGCCUCUGUUAUUCAAUGAUGCCCUCAUGGGCCCCUAUUAUAUAUGUUUGUUAAAUGAAUUAUUGCCAGAUGACGUAACCUUGGUGACGUGACUCUGUUAUUGGUUGUGGUCACUAGCCAAAGGUUAAGAAGGAUUCAUCUUACCAGUUACUAAUCUCACAUAAGUGGGAUUAAAAAUACCAAAACAGUUUUUAAAAUAUCAGCACAUUAAAAUUUUCAUAAUAGUUAAUUUCUAAGUGUGAAAAAUAGUAAAAAAAAACAUAUGCAAACGUAAAAUUGUGUUUGAUAAAUGAAAAAUAAAAGUGUUGUGUUUUUUUCAAAAUCAUGGGUGUAAAAUAACAAAAAGCAAAAGCAGCUCUACUCUUGCUUCUAAAAAAACAUUUUUUUAUAAGAGGCAAGUCAACAAUUUCAAUUAAUAAAAUUGUCAUAUUGACAAUCCUACCCUC
rnacentral:lncRNA from 1 species